GCGACAUGAAGUUGUCAAUUCAUAUUCCUACUGUUCAUGUUUGGUGUUUGACUUGUUCAUGCGUUGUUCUGUAUAGGUCGAUCUGUUCUUCUACAGAGAGCCCGAGGAGGCUAAGCCAGAAGAUGAGGAUGAGUCUGCACCUCAGGCAGACUUUGGACUACCUGCUCCUGAAUAUGGAAUGGUUGGUGGAGAGCAGUGGACCACAGCUGCGAUCCCUGAUGCUGCAUGGCCAGGUGAAGCCCAGCAGCCAAUUGCUGCUGCUCCUGCCGCUGCUUCUUGGACUGAUUCUAGCGGUGAGUUAGAUAUAACCUGAAACGCUGUUUUGGCUCAGUGAUCUCUUAGUCUACGAUGUUGAUUUUGAUUUUGGUUUAUUCUUGUGGUUACAGUUGCUCCAGCAGCAGAUGGAUGGGACACGGCUGUGCCACCCCCAACUGCUCCAGCUACCGGUUGGGAAUAAAUUUGAUAGGCUCUACAAUGUUUGGUUAUAGACAUUGUUUUUUGUUACUGUUGGGAUUGAAAAAUUAUCGAACCGCAACUUAUUUUCCUCUCGCAUCAUUCUCUCAAGACACUUAGAUUAUUAUUCUGUUCGCUUUUAUCACAAAUAUAAAUUGAGCUUCCUGUUUCUUGCAACAUUUCUCCACAUUCUCAUGGAAGUUACUUGGAAGCAGUACGAAUAUAAAGGCUAAUAUAACAUUUCUCGAAUAUAGCACAAUAUGAAAGUGGAGAUGUCUUUCAAUAUUGGCCACAAUCGAACAGGAUAGAUUUUAGCUUUCAACAUUGGCCUGAAUCAAACAGAAUAGAUUUUAUAGCUUUCAACAUUGGCCUGAAUCAAAGAGAAUAGAUUUUGGCAAUCUAAAUUACAAGGCAAAAAAACAGUAUCUCUUUCUCGAUCCACACUUCACAGUGAUGUAAGAUCAUAUCUUCACGCAGAGAAUUUUUAAAAUCAGAUUUCACGACAAUUUAAACUUCCCGAACCCAAAUUUCCAGCGCUAAACGGAUACCUUUUGCUAACAAGUUUGUACACACUUGGAGCCCGGUUUAAGAAAAACAAACCGGAAAUUGAACCAGUGGUUAUUGGCUAAGUUUUUAUUUCAUCAACUCUAAAAAUGUUAAUUUACUAGCUCCGAUAAAUUUACCACGGUCAUUGGUAAAAAUACGUGGGAUAAACAUGAGGGCAAAACAGACUUUAUAUUCGAAUUAGGGUUUCGCUUGAUAAAUUGCCGUCUCCCUCACAGUUCUUUUAGUUUCCCCUCGCCGCUCUCGUGUGAUUUACACUGCAGAAACCUAUCUCGGCGAUUAGGUCCCGGAGAAGAAGAAGAAGAAAAGAAACAGUAUGGCGACUGACUUAACUGCUAGCUCUGGACAGCUUUCCCAGAAGGAAGCUGACAUCAGGAUGAUGUGUGCUGCUGAGGUUCACCUUGGAACCAAAAAUUGCAAUUACCAAAUGGAGCGUUACGUCUUCAAGAGACGCAACGAUGGUAACUAUACAUCUCGUGUAUUUCUUUUUGCUACUUGUAUAAACAUACCAAUAUUUAUGUGUGUAUGUAGAUGAUUAGGCAUUGUGAUUCCGUGUUGCUAUUGCGGAUUUGUAUGUUUUUGUGUCUUUUGAGUUUUUGUUUCCCCAUAGAUUGUUUAUGAUCUCUUUUUGGCUCAUGCUGCUUUGUUUUAGAUGAGUUAUGGAUUUGUAGGUCGUUUUAGUUCCUCACUCUUUUAUCCCCAAAGUAGAGUUUAGCCGCUACCACGGAUCUAAGUAGCCGCUGACAAAAGCAAAAUACUUCAGCGUUGAACUCUAUCCAUUUCUGUCAACAUUUCGUCUAUUAAUAAGUCUAGAUAACUACCAAAGGGAUGGUUUGUGUCUUUUAUUGUAUUCAUGAUCACAAGAGUGGUUUUAGUGUUUACGAAGAAAUGAGUAUUUCACGGGUUUCAUUUGGUUUCUUGAUUCUAAGCUUACGAAUGGAAAACUGAGCCAAUGGCAGAUAAUCCUCUUCGAGACUGAUGUUUGACACUGUAUGGAUGCAAGUGUUUAUUUUUUUGUUACUCUUAUCGACUAGUGUUCUUACUUCUGUUUGAUUUUAUAUGCUCAACAAUGCAUAUUGCAUGUCAAUUUUGACGUUUGAUUUUCCUUUUCAGGUAUUUACAUAUUCAACCUCGGCAAAACAUGGGAAAAGCUGCAGAUGGCUGCUAGAGUUAUUGUUGCUAUUGAGAACCCACAGGACAUCAUUGUCCAGUCUGCUAGGCCCUAUGGUCAGAGAGCUGUCCUGAAGUUCGCUCAGUACACAGGAGCCAAUGCCAUUGCUGGAAGGCACACUCCUGGUACCUUCACUAAUCAGAUGCAGACCUCAUUCAGUGAGCCCAGGCUUCUGAUUCUUACAGAUCCCCGUACCGACCACCAGGUAAACUCCUUUUCCUAAUACCACGGAUGGUUAUGUUAUGUCUUGUUCUGGAUUAACAUCUUGUAUGUGUUGUUGCAGCCCAUCAAGGAAGGUGCUUUGGGAAACAUCCCCAUCAUUGCUUUCUGUGACACAGACUCUCCUAUGAGGUUUGUUGACAUUGGUAUCCCAGCCAACAACAAGGGAAAGCACAGCAUUGGUUGUCUUUUCUGGCUUCUUGCUCGCAUGGUCCUUCAGAUGCGUGGAACCAUCCGCCCUGCACAGAAAUGGGAUGUCAUGGUAAGAGGACUUUUUGUGUAACUCUUUGCCCUUCUUGCAAAGUCUUACAUUGUUGAGUAGAGAAGAGUUUGAUUAUGUAGGCGACAUGAAGUUUUUAAUUUUUUCCUGUUGUUCAUGUUUGAUGUAUUGUUCAUAUGUUGUGCUGUACAGGUGGAUCUGUUCUUCUACAGAGAGCCAGAGGAGGCUAAGCCAGAGGAUGAGGAUGAGUCUGCACCUCAGGCAGACUUUGGGCUACCUGCUCCUGAAUAUGGAAUGGUUGGUGGAGAGCAAUGGACCACUGCUGCGAUCCCUGAUGCUGCAUGGCCAGGGGAAGCCCAGCAGCCAAUCGCUGCUGCUCCUGCCGCUGCUUCUUGGACCGAUUCA
rnacentral:lncRNA from 1 species